rnacentral:antisense_RNA from 1 species
CUUCAACGAGCCCAGGAACAGGGGGUGUUCGCGGUCCUGGCCGUAGGCCGCCAGCAGGGCCUGGGCCUC